rnacentral:rRNA from 1 species
GACGAACGCUGGCGGCGUGCCUAAUACAUGUAAGUAGAACGCACAGUUUAUACCGUAGCUUGCUACACCAUAGACUGUGAGUUGCGAACGGGUGAGUAACGCGUAGGUAACCUGCCUGGUAGCGGGGGAUAACUAUUGGAAACGAUAGCUAAUACCGCAUAAUAUUUAUUAUUGCUUGAUAAUUGAUUGAAAGAUGCAACUGCAUCACUACCAGGUGGACCUGCGUUGUAUUAGCUAGUAGGUGAGGUAACGGCUCACCUAGGCGACGAUACAUAGCCGACCUGAGAGGGUGAUCGGCCACACUGGGACAGAGACACGGCCCAGACUCCUACGGGAGGCAGCAGUAGGGAAUCUUCGGCAAUGGACGAAAGUCUGACCGAGCAACGCCGCGGGAGUGAAGAAGGUUUUCGGAUCGUAAAGCUCUGUUGUAAGAGAAGAACGGGUGUGAGAGUGGAAAGUUCACACUGUGACGGUAUCUUACCAGAAAGGGACGGCUAACUACGUG